ACCCAUCUGAGGGGUCCCAAAUAGGACGAAAUGCGCAUCCUGGUU
rnacentral:hammerhead_ribozyme from 1 species